rnacentral:lncRNA from 1 species
GGUUUGCAACUACGUGUCCCAGACUGCAUCCCUGCUGAGAGUCCCUCCCUCCCUUCUCAUGUUGCAGGAAGAACGUAAGCGCCCGCCCCUUGUCAAUCAGUCACCAUAUAAUUUUGGAUUGGUUGCUGUGGUGAAGUUUUCCACCAAUAGGAGAGAUGUUGUGGUGUGUUUCUUUUUUCUUUUGGCAAGCCUUUUCCGCCUGUAAGACCUGUCGCUAAUGUGUGCAUGCUAUGUUUUCCUGUCUCAUACAGCGCGAUCGAGCGCCGAACGUGAUCAAAAUAAGCAGAAAAAAAGUAUCGCGGACAUAAUUUAUCAUAACUCUGGUUUUAUUUGGCCUAUCAACACAAUUUAAAAACUGGUAUAUAGGUUGAGGUCCUCACUUUUGAGAUAAGUUGAAACGGAGAGUUAACGAGGCUCCGUCUUGCAGCUACAUCCGGUUAAAUAUGUCAUGUGACUUGAACGCUGGGGAGCGUCAAUCGAAUCAAAUCAAACCUAACUCUCAGAUGAAUCUUCAAAAUUCACCUCAGAAAUAUGCUUAUUAUUCUUCUCAGAGUACUGCAGGAUACACACACACACACACACACAGACACACACACACACACGCACACACACACACACACUCAGAGUCUGUUUUUUAGCACCUGCAAAAACAUGCUAUUUACAUAUUUGACAAGAAUGCAGAGGCUUCCUUUUGCCCCUGAAAAAAAUCAAAUUUCAAACACAACUUGACUGCUCAUUUCUCCAAAAGACAACCAUGAAGCUCCAUCCAAACCUGAAGCAGGCAGUUGGUGCAUGUGUACAGUAACCUGAGGGGAGUGAGGUGACUGCUUCUGAGGAGAACAUGAGCAGUGAAGAUUCACCUUGGAGCUAGAACAGGGACGUGCACAUGAUAAUACAGGGGCAGGGGCUCAAGUUUUUUCCAGUCGUUUAUACAAUAUGGAAAUUAAUGUGAAAUUAAAAAACAAAGUAUGACUGUCCUGUGUAGGUGACAGUGAUAUCCAAUAGGCUAGGCACUCACGAGGCUGGCUGUGGCAAGUGUAAGUGAAAGCAACAUGCACUGGCAGGAAGAACAGCAAACGCCGAUGAAGGAAAAGGGUCUUUGCAGUGAUGGGCGUUACCAGAGAGGGCGAUGGCCAGAGGACACGAAUGGGACGGGGAGGCAGCGCGUUGGGGGGGGGGGGUGCGACAUGGCUCGGGCCCGCCAGUGCCCCAACGGGGCCCUAGUUCUUUCUUUCUUUCUUCUUUUUCCUCCCCUUUGAACUGGAAAAUGGCCCACUUCCCACUGGCGAAAACUCAUGAAAUUUGGCAGGACGACCGGGCCUGGUGAAAAAUUCGAUAUUCUGAAGUCGCCCAAACAAUAAAAUGCAAAAUGGCUCCAUAGCGCCCCCUAAGGUGGAAAUUCACACUAUUGACUGUCACGCCUGUACGCUUUGUCAUAUUGACACAAAAAUUGACACACAUAUGUAUCUCAAUAAGAUCUACAAAAAAGUCAGUGCGGCCGUAUCUGUCAAAAUUACGGUUAAAGGGUUAUUUCGCAUUUUUUGCCGAUCCGCACACAUUGGAAUUUCGCUAACUCCUCCGAAGGCUUUCGUUCCACCGGCACCACAUUUGCUCAGGCCAAUCUACACCCCGUGGCCAUUAAAAGUUAUCAAAAUCAUGACGCUGCACCCCAAGGUUUAGGUUCUAGGGGGCGCCAAAGAUAACACUAAAAUCUACAUAUUUAAAAGUCUUAUAACUUUUUAUUUUUGUCCUCACUGGCCUCCAAGUUUUCUAGGAUGAUGCAAUGUCCAGCCAUCAACACAUUUGUGAAGGAAUUUUUACUCCCCAAAAGAGCGCCCCCCAUGGCAGGAGAAAAAAGUCCAUUUUUUCUUGUCCCCUAAGGUGAAAAUACACAUUGUUGAGUGUCACGCCUAUACGCUUUGUCAAAAUGACACAAAAAUUGACACACACAUGUAACUCAAUAAGAUCUACAAAAAAGUCCAUGCGCGCGUAUCUGUCAAAUGUACAGUUAAAGGGUUAUUCCGCAUUUUUUGCCGAUACGCACACAUUGGAAUGUGGCUAACUCCUCCGAAGGCUUUCGUUCCACCGGCACCACAUUUGCUCAGGCCAAUCUACACCCCAUGGCCAUUAAAAGUUAUUCAAAUCAUGAUGCUGCACCCCAUGGUUUAGGUUCUAGGGGGCGCCAAAAAUAACCCAAAAAUCCACAUUCUUAAAUGUUUUAUAACUUUUUAUUUUUGUCCUCACUGGCCUCCAAGUUUUCUAGGAUGAUGCAAUGUCCAGCCAUCAACACAUUUGUGAAGGAAUUUUUACUCCCCAAAAGAGCGCCCCCCCAUGGUAGGAGAAAAAAGUCAAUUUUUUCUUGUCCCCUUACAUAAAAAUACACAUUGUUGAGUGUCACGCCUGAACGCUUUGUCAUAUUGACACAAAAAUUGACAAUCAUGUGUAUCUCAAUUAGAUCUACGAAAAAGUCAAAGAGCGCGUAUCUGUAUAAUGUACGGUUAAAGGGCUAUUUUGCAUUUUUUGCCGAUUCGCACACAUUGGAAUGUGGCUAUCUCCUCCUAAGGCUUUCGUCCCACCGAUACCAAAUUUGCUCAGGGCAAUCUACACCCCAUGCCCAUUCAAAGUUGUAAAAAUCAUGACGCUGCACCCCACGGUUUACGUUCUAGGGGGCGCCAAAGAUGACCCAAAAAUCCACAUUCUUAAAAGUCAUUUUGGCCACUGCAGGAGUACAGAGUACUGCAGUUCUAGGGGGCGCCAAAGAUGACCCAAAAAUCCACAUUCUUAAAAGUCUUUUUGGCCACUGCAGGAGUACAGAGUACUGCAGGAUACACACACAUAUACACACACGCCAACAUACACACACACUCACACACACACACACACACACACACACAGACACACACACACACUCAGAGUCUGUUUUUUAGCACCUGCAAAAACAUGCUGUUUACAUAUUUGACAAGAAUGCAGAGGCUUCCUUUUGCCCCUGAAAAAAAUCAAAUUUCAAACACAACUUGACUGUUCAUUUCUCCAAAAGACAACCAUGAAGCUCCAUUUCAAACCUGAAGCAGAUAGUUGGUGCAUGUGUACAGUAACCUGAGGGGAGUGAGGUGACUAUUUCUGAGGAGAACAUGAGCAGUGAAGAUUCACCUUGGAGCUAGAACAGGGACGUGCACAUGAUUAUACAGGGGCAGGGGCUCAAGUUUUUUCCAGUCAUUUAUACAAUAUGGAAAUUAAUGUGAAAUUAAACCACAAAUAUGUGUGAUGAACUGUUUUUAAAACUUAAACUUCAAAUAAAAAUUGUAAACUUCAAAACAUAUGCAAAUUUUUAACAAAGAACAUAGUAAUUUACCUCUAUUUACAUCAAAAUGCAGGCAAUGGCCCAGGCGUUCUUUGUAAAAUUAUUUACAAAACACUGUAUAGUCUCACAAAUGUCACUUUUUAUUUAUGCCACUACAAAAAAACAUGAUGUAAAUGAUGCAUGAUGUAAAACAUGAUGUAAAAAACUUGUGUAGAUCCUCCUCUAUGUCAGUCCAUGUGUAAUUUUUCCAUAAUUCUUUGUUUUUUGCAGCAUUUUUGUUAGUGUAACUGCAGAUUGUGCUGACAGUGUCUAUGGCACAAAAAAAAAAAAAUUAAAAUGCCUCAACAUGAACCCCUGGUGGUCUCUGAGGGUGAAACCUGCUAACUGCUGCAGCUCUGUCAGCUUCAGUCUCCCAUGCAGAGCUCUGAGCGCAUGUGUGGCUCUGCACCCUUAGCAGCGUUGCUAACUCCUCAGUAAGGAAAGCCUGCUUCAUGUCAGAGUCUCUAAACUCCAGAAGAAGUCGAUAAAAGUCCCUUUCUUUCUAAAAAAAGUCGUUAGGGGGUCUGAAAAGUCAUUGAAUCUAACAACAAAGUCGCUAGGUUUGCAACUACGUGUCCCAGACUGCAUCCCUGCUGAGAGUCCCUCCCUCCCUUCUCAUGUUGCAGGAAGAACGUAAGCACCCUCCCCUUGUCAAUCAGUCACCAUAUAAUUUUGGAUUGGUUGUUGUGGUGAAGUUUUCCACCAAUAGGAGAGAUGUUGUGGUGUGUUUUUUUUUUUUUUUGGCAAGCCUUUUCCGCCUGUAAGACCUGUCGCUAAUGUCUGCAUGCUAUGUUUUCCUGUCUCAUACAGCGCGAUCGAGCGCCGAACGUGAUCAAAAUAAGCAGAAAAAAAGUAUCGCGGACAUAAUUUAUCAUAACUCUGGUUUUAUUUGGCCUAUCAACACAAUUUAAAAACUGGUAUAUAGGUUGAGGUCCUCACUUUUGAGAUAAGUUGAAACGGAGAGUCAACGAGGCUCCGUCUUGCAGCUACAUCCGGUUAAAUAUGUCAUGUGACUUGAACGCACACACAGACACACACACACACGCACACACACACACACACACACACACACACACACACACACACUCAGAGUCUGGUUUUUAGCACCUGCAAAAACAUGCUAUUUACAUAUUUGACAAGAAUGCAGAGGCUCCUUUUGCCCCUGAAAAAAAAAUCAAAUUUCAAACACAACUUGACUGGUCAUUUCUCCAAAAGACAACCAUGAAGCUCCAUCCAAACCUGAAGCAGGCAGUUGGUGCAUGUGUACAGUAACCUGAGGGGAGUGAGGUGAGUGCUUCUGAGGAGAACAUGAGCAGUGAAGAUUCACCUUGGAGCUAGAACAGAGACAUGCACAUGAUUAUACAGGGGCAGGGGCUCAAGUUUUUUCCAGUCGUUUAUACAAUAUGGAAAUUAAUGUGAAAUUAAAACACAAAGUAUUAAUAGAAAGGUAAUGACUGUCCUGUGUAGGUGACAGGGAUAUCGAAUAGGCUAGGCACUCACGAGGCUGGCUGUGGCAAGUGUAAGUGAAAGCAACACGCACUGGCAGGAAGAACAGCAAACGCCGAUGAAGGAAAAGGGUCUUUGCAGUGAUGGGCGUUACAAGAGAGGGCGAUGGCCAGAGGACACAAAUGGGACGGGGAGGCAGCACGUUGGGGGGGGGGGGGGGCCGACACGGCUCGGGCCCGCCAGUGCCCCAACGGGGUCCUAGUUGUUUCUUUCUUUCUUUAGGGCCCGAGCGUAGCUGCUAAGCAGCUGCGAGAGCCCUCUUGUUCCUGUAGUUUCCUUCUUUAGGGCCCGAGCGUAGCUGCUAAGCAGCUGCGAGAGCCCUCUUGUUCCUGUAGUUUCCUUCUUUUGUUAUUAUUAGGGCCCGAGCGUAGCUGCUAAGCAGCUGCGAGAGCCCUCUUGUUCCUGCAUGUUUCCUUCUUUUGUUAUUAUUAUUAUUUUUCCUCCCCUUUGAACUGGAAAAUGGCCCACUUCCCACUGGCGAAAACUCAUGAAAUUUGGCAGGACGACCGGGCCUGGUGAAAAAUUUGAUAUUCCGAAGUCGCCCAAACAAGAAAAUGCAAAAUGGCUCCAUAGCGCCCCCUAAGGUGAAAAUUCACACUAUUGACUGUCACGCCUGUACGCUUUGUCAAAAUGACACAAAAAUUGACACACACAUGUAUCUCAAUAAGAUCUACAGAAAAGUCAGUGCGGCCGUAUCUGUCAAAUGUACGGUUAAAGGGUUAUUUCGCAUUUUUUGCCGAUCCGCACACAUUGGAAUUUCGCUAACUCCUCCGAAGGCUUUCGUUCCACCGGCACCACAUUUGCUCAGGCCAAUCUACACCCCAUGGCCAUUAAAAGUUAUUCAAAUCAUGACGCUGCAUCCCACGGUUUAGGUUCUAGGGGGCGCCAAAGAUAACCCUAAGAUCCACAUAUUUAAAAGUCUUAUAACUUUUUAUUUUUGCCCUCACUGGCCUCCAAGUUUUCUAGGAUGAUGCAAUGUCCAGCCAUCAACACAUUUGUGAAGGAAUUUUUACUCCCCAAAAGAGCGCCCCCCCAUGGCAGGAGAAAAAAGUCCAUUUUUUCUUGUCCCCUAAGGUGAAAAUACACAUUGUUGAGUGUAACACCUGUACGCUUUGGCAAAAUGACACCAAAAUUGAGACACACAUGUAUCUCAAUAAGAUCUACAAAAAAGUCAAUGCGCACGUAUCUGUCAAAUGUACGGUUAAAGGGUUAUUCCGCAUUUUUUGCCGAUCCGCACACAUUGGAAUUUCGCUAACUCCUCCGAAGGCUUUCGUUCCACCGGCACCACAUUUUCUCAGGCCAAUCUACACCCCAUGGCCAUUAAAAGUUAUUCAAAUCAUGACGCUGCACCCCACGGUUUAGGUUCUAGGGGGCGCCAAAGAUAACCGUAAAAUCCACAUAUUUAAAAGUCUUAUAACUUUUUAUUUUUGUCCCCACUGGCCUCCAAGUUUUCUAGGAUGAUGCAAUGUCCAGCCAUCAACACAUUUGUGAAGGAAUUUUUACUCGCCAAAAGAGCGCCCCCCCAUGGCAGGAGAAAAAAGUCCAUUUUUUCUUGUCCACUAAGGUGAAAAUACACAUUGUUGAGUGCUACGCCUGUAUGUUUUGUCGUAUUGACACAAAAUUUUACAUACACGUGUCUUUCAAUAAGAUCUUCGAAAAAGUCAAUGGCCACGUAUCUGUAAAAUGUACGGUUAAAGGGUUAUUUCGCAUUUUUUGCAGAUUCGCACACAUUGGAAUUUCGCUAACUCCUCCGAAGGCUUUCGUUCCACCGGCACCACAUUUUCUCAGGCCAAUCUACACCCCAUGGCCAUUAAAAGUUAUUCAAAUCAUGACGCUGCACCCCACGGUUUAGGUUCUAGGGGGCGCCAAAGAUAACCCUAAGAUCCACAUAUUUAAAAGUCUUAUAACUUUUUAUUUUUGCCCUCACUGGCCUCCAAGUUUUCUAGGAUGAUGCAAUGUCCAGCCAUCAACACAUUUGUGAAGGAAUUUUUACUCCCCAAAAGAGCGCCCCCCCAUGGCAGGAGAAAAAAGUCCAUUUUUUCUUGUCCCCUAAGGUGAAAAUACACAUUGUUGAGUGUAACACCUGUACGCUUUGGCAAAAUGACACAAAAAUUGACACACAUAUGUAUCUCAAUAAGAUCUACGAAAAAGUCAAUGCGCGCGUAUCUGUCAAAUGUACGGUUAAAGGGUUAUUCCGCAUUUUUUGCCGAUCCGCACACAUUGGAAUUUCGCUAACUCCUCCGAAGGCUUUCGUUCCACCGGCACCACAUUUGCUCAGGCCAAUCUACACCCCAUGGCCAUUAAAAGUUAUUCAAAUCAUGACGCUGCACCCCACGGUUUAGGUUCUAGGGGGCGCCAAAGAUAACCCUAAAAUCCACAUAUUUAAAAGUCUUAUAACUUUUUAUUUUUGUCCUCACUGGCCUCCAAGUUUUCUAGGAUGAUGCAAUGUCCAGCCAUCAACACAUUUGUGAAGGAAUUUUUACUCCCCAAAAGAGCGCCCCCCCAUGGCAGGAGAAAAAAGUCAAUUUUUUCUUGUCCCCUAAGGUGGAAAUUCACACUAUUAACUGUCACGCCUGUACGCUUUAUCAUAUUGACACAAAAAUUGACACACAUAUGUAUCUCAAUAAGAUCUACAAAAAAGUCAAUGCGCGCGUAUCUGUCAAAUGUACGGUUAAAGGGCUAUUUUGCAUUUUUUGCCGAUUCGCACACAUUGGAAUGUGGCUAACUUCUCCUAAGGCUUUCGUCCCACUGACACCAAAUUUGCUCAGGCCAAUCUACACCCCAUGGCCAUUCAAAGUUGUAAAAAUCAUGACGCUGCACCCCACGGUUUACGUUCUAGGGGGCGCCAAAGAUGACCCAAAUAUCCACAUUCUUAAAAGAAUCCACAUCCCCCCCCAUCCCCCACCCCCCAUGGCAGGAGAAACAGUCAAGUUUUUCCUGCCCAUCACUCAAUGGCUCAAUCGCAUCGCUCUCCCGGCAACACCGUAACGAGGAGCAACUUGCCGUUUGGAUAUAUCCUAGCUGUGUUUGUGCCCUCACUCAUGGUCCAGACUUUUUUCAAAUAGGACAUGUAGUUUGUCUGCAGCGAGUGUUUUGGUAGAAACUGCGCCUCCCAUUCAUUAUAAUGGGAAAUGACCACAGACAAGUGCGCACACCAUCUUUGGACCUUGAGUGUGACGCGAUCGGGAGGUGGAGGCGGUCGCGCUGGGGGCGGUGCGACGCGGCUCGGGCCCGACAGUGCCCCACCGGGGCCCUAGUUCUUUCUUUCUUUAGGGCCCGAGCGUAGCUGCUAAGCAGCUGCGAGAGCCCUCUUGUUCCUGCAUGUUUCCUUCUUUUGUUAUUAGGGCCCGAGCCAGCUGCAGAGCAGCCGGGCGUAGGCCCUAUUAUUCCCCAAGUGGUUUUUCUUUGUUUCUUUCUUUCUUUCUUUCUUUCUUUCUUCUUUUUCCUCCCCUUUGAACUGGAAAAUGGCCCACUUCCCACUGGCGAAAACUCAUGAAAUUUGGCAGGACGACCGGGCCUGGUGAAAAAUUCGAUAUUCUGAAGUCGCCCAAACAAGAAAAUGCAAAAUGGCUCCAUAGCGCCCCCUAAGGUGGAAAUUCACACUAUUGACUGUCACGCCUGUACGCUUUGUCAUAUUGACACAAAAAUUGACACACAUAUGUAUCUCAAUAAGAUCUACAAAAAAGUCAGUGCGGCCGUAUCUGUCAAAAUUACGGUUAAAGGGUUAUUUCGCAUUUUUUGCCGAUCCGCACACAUUGGAAUUUCGCUAACUCCUCCGAAGGCUUUCGUUCCACCGGCACCACAUUUGCUCAGGCCAAUCUACACCCCGUGGCCAUUAAAAGUUAUCAAAAUCAUGACGCUGCACCCCAAGGUUUAGGUUCUAGGGGGCGCCAAAGAUAACACUAAAAUCCACAUAUUUAAAAGUCUUAUAACUUUUUAUUUUUGUCCUCACUGGCCUUCAAGUUUUCUAGGAUGAUGCAAUGUCCAGCCAUCAACACAUUUGUGAAGGAAUUUUUACUCCCCAAAAGAGCGCCCCCCCAUGGCAGGAGAAAAAAGUCCAUUUUUUCUUGUCCCCUAAGGUGAAAAUACACAUUGUUGAGUGUCAAGCCUAUACGCUUUGUCAAAAUGACACAAAAAUUGACACACACAUGUAACUCAAUAAGAUCUACAAAAAAGUCCAGCGCGCGUAUCUGUCAAAUGUACAGUUAAAGGGUUAUUCCGCAUUUUUUGCCGAUACGCACACAUUGGAAUUUCGCUAACUCCUCCGAAGGCUUUCGUUCCACCGGCACCACAUUUGCUCAGGCCAAUCUACACCCCAUGGCCAUUAAAAGUUAUUCAAAUCAUGAUGCUGCACCCCAUGGUUUAGGUUCUAGGGGGCGCAAAAAAUAACCCAAAAAUCCACAUUCUUAAAUGUUUUAUAACUUUUUAUUUUUGUCCUCACUGGCCUCCAAGUUUUCUAGGAUGAUGCAAUGUCCAGCCAUCAACACAUUUGUGAAGGAAUUUUUACUCCCCAAAAGAGCGCCCCCCCAUGGUAGGAGAAAAAAGUCAAUUUUUUCUUGUCCCCUUACAUAAAAAUACACAUUGUUGAGUGUCACGCCUGAACGCUUUGUCAUAUUGACACAAAAAUUGACAAUCAUGUGUAUCUCAAUUAGAUCUACGAAAAAGUCAAAGAGCGCGUAUCUGUAUAAUGUACGGUUAAAGGGCUAUUUUGCAUUUUUUGCCGAUUCGCACACAUUGGAAUGUGGCUAUCUCCUCCUAAGGCUUUCGUCCCACCGAUACCAAAUUUGCUCAGGGCAAUCUACACCCCAUGCCCAUUCAAAGUUGUAAAAAUCAUGACGCUGCACCCCACGGUUUACGUUCUAGGGGGCGCCAAAGAUGACCCAAAAAUCCACAUUCUUAAAAGUCAUUUUGGCCACUGCAGGAGUACAGAGUACUGCAGUUCUAGGGGGCGCCAAAGAUGACCCAAAAAUCCACAUUCUUAAAAGUCUUUUUGGCCACUGCAGGAGUACAGAGUACUGCAGGAUACACACACAUAUACACACACGCCAACAUACACACACACACACACACACACACACACACACACACACACACACACACACACAGACACACACCCACACUCAGAGUCUGUUUUUUAGCACCUGCAAAAACAUGCUGUUUACAUAUUUGACAAGAAUGCAGAGGCUUCCUUUUGCCCCUGAAAAAAAUCAAAUUUCAAACACAACUUGACGUUUCAUUUCUCCAAAAGACAACCAUGAAGCUCCAUUUCAAACCUGAAGCAGAUAGUUGGUGCAUGUGUACAGUAACCUGAGGGGAGUGAGGUGACUAUUUCUGAGGAGAACAUGAGCAGUGAAGAUUCACCUUGGAGCUAGAACAGGGACGUGCACAUGAUUAUACAGGGGCAGGGGCUCAAGUUUUUUCCAGUCAUUUAUACAAUAUGGAAAUUAAUGUGAAAUUAAACCACAAAUAUGUGUGAUGAACUGUUUUUAAAACUUAAACUUCAAAUAAAAAUUGUAAACUUCAAAACAUAUGCAAAUUUUUAACAAAGAACAUAGUAAUUUACCUCUAUUUACAUCAAAAUGCAGGCAAUGGCCCAGGCGUUCUUUGUAAAAUUAUUUACAAAACACUGUAUAGUCUCACAAAUGUCACUUUUUAUUUAUGCCACUACAAAAAAACAUGAUGUAAAUGAUGCAUGAUGUAAAACAUGAUGUAAAAAACUUGUGUAGAUCCUCCUCUAUGUCAGUCCAUGUGUAAUUUUUCCAUAAUUCUUUGUUUUUGCAGCAUUUUUGUUAGUGUAACUGCAGAUUGUGCUGACAGUGUCUAUGGCACAAAAAAAAAAAAAAAUUAAAAUGCCUCAACAUGAACCCCUGGUGGUCUCUGAGGGUGAAACCUGCUAACUGCUGCAGCUCUGUCAGCUUCAGUCUCCCAUGCAGAGCUCUGAGCGCAUGUGUGGCUCUGCACCCUUAGCAGCGUUGCUAACUCCUCAGUAAGGAAAGCCUGCUUCAUGUCAGAGUCUCUAAACUCCAGAAGAAGUCGAUAAAAGUCCCUUUCUUUCUAAAAAAAAGUCGUUAGGGGGUCUGAAAAGUCAUUGAAUCUAACAACAAAGUCGCUAGGUUUGCAACUACGUGUCCCAGACUGCAUCCCUGCUGAGAGUCCCUCCCUCCCUUCUCAUGUUGCAGGAAGAACGUAAGCGCCCGCCCCUUGUCAAUCAGUCACCAUAUAAUUUUGGAUUGGGGAAAUUUUGCUAAACAAUGUGACAAUCACGUGCCUUGCCUGGUAUCAUUUUUUUCAGCACAACCUCACCUGUGCGAAUUUACAGUUAUUUUAUCAUGUUGACAUACUGAAUUUACACAAUGGACCCAAAUUCACACACAAAACAUAAAAUCCGAGUGGAAAAAAGUAACAUUUUUACUGUGAAAACCACAAAUAUGUGUGAUGAACUGUUUUUAAAACUUAAACUUCAAAUAAAAAUUGUAAACUUCAAAACAUAUGCAAAUUUUUAACAAAGAACAUAGUGAUUUACCUCUAUUUACAUCAAAAUGCAGGCAAUGGCCCAGGCGUUCUUUGUAAAAUUAUUUACAAAACACUGUAUAGUCUCACAAAUGUCACUUUUUAUUUAUGCCACUACAAAAAAACAUGAUGUAAAUGAUGCAUGAUGUAAAACAUGAUGUAAAAAACUUGUGUAGAUCCUCCUCUAUGUCAGUCCAUGUGUAAUUUUUCCAUAAUUCUUUGUUUUUUGCAGCAUUUUUGUUAGUGUAACUGCAGAUUGUGCUGACAGUGUCUAUGGCACAAAAAAAAAAAAAUUUAAAAUGCCUCAACAUGAACCCCUGGUGGUCUCUGAGGGUGAAACCUGCUAACUGCUGCAGCUCUGUCAGCUUCAGUCUCCCAUGCAGAGCUCUGAGCGCAUGUGUGGCUCUGCACCCUUAGCAGCGUUGCUAACUCCUCAGUAAGGAAAGCCUGCUUCAUGUCAGAGUCUCUAAACUCCAGAAGAAGUCGAUAAAAGUCACUUUCUUUCUAAAAAAAAGUCGUUGGGGGUCUGAAAAGUCAUUGAAUCUAACAACAAAGUCGCUAGGUUUGCAACUACGUGUCCCAGACUGCAUCCCUGCUGAGAGUCCCUCCCUCCCUUCUCAUGUUGCAGGAAGAACGUAAGCGCCCGCCCCUUGUCAAUCAGUCACCAUAUAAUUUUGGAUUGGUUGUUGUGGUGAAGUUUUCCACCAAUAGGAGAGAUGUUGUGGUGUGUUUUUUUUUCUUUUGGCAAGCCUUUUCCGCCUGUAAGACCUGUCGCUAAUGUCUGCAUGCUAUGUUUUCCUGUCUCAUACAGCGCGAUCGAGCGCCGAACGUGAUCAAAAUAAGCAGAAAAAAAGUAUCGCGGACAUAAUUUAUCAUAACUCUGGUUUUAUUUGGCCUAUCAACACAAUUUAAAAACUGGUAUAUAGGUUGAGGUCCUCACUUUUGAGAUAAGUUGAAACGGAGAGUCAACGAGGCUCCGUCUUGCAGCUACAUCCGGUUAAAUAUGUCAUGUGACUUGAACGCACACACAGACACACACACACGCACACACACACACACACACACACACACACACACACACACACACACACUCAGAGUCUGGUUUUUAGCACCUGCAAAAACAUGCUAUUUACAUAUUUGACAAGAAUGCAGAGGCUCCUUUUGCCCCUGAAAAAAAAUCAAAUUUCAAACACAACUUGACUGGUCAUUUCUCCAAAAGACAACCAUGAAGCUCCAUCCAAACCUGAAGCAGGCAGUUGGUGCAUGUGUACAGUAACCUGAGGGGAGUGAGGUGAGUGCUUCUGAGGAGAACAUGAGCAGUGAAGAUUCACCUUGGAGCUAGAACAGAGACGUGCACAUGAUUAUACAGGGGCAGGGGCUCAAGUUUUUUCCAGUCGUUUAUACAAUAUGGAAAUUAAUGUGAAAUUAAAACACAAAGUAUUAAUAGAAAGGAAAUGACUGUCCUGUGUAGGUGACAGUGAUAUCCAAUAGGCUAGGCACUCACGAGGCUGGCUGUGGCAAGUGUAAGUGAAAGCAACACGCACUGGCAGGAAGAACAGCAAACGCCGAUGAAGGAAAAGGGUCUUUGCAGUGAUGGGCGUUACCAGAGAGGGCGAUGGCCAGAGGACACAAAUGGGACGGGGAGGCAGCACGUUGGGGGGGGGGGGGACGCGACACGGCUCGGGCCCGCCAGUGCCCCAACGGGGUCCUAGUUAGGGCCCGAGCGUAGCUGCUAAGCAGCUGCGAGAGCCCUAUUAUUCCCCAAGUGGUUUUUCUUUGUUUCUUUUUUCUUUUUCCUCCCCUUUGAACUGGAAAAUGGCCCACUUCCCACUGGCGAAAACUCAUGAAAUUUGGCAGGACAACCGGGCCUGGUGAAAAAUUUGAUAUUCCGAAGUCGCCCAAACAAGAAAAUGCAAAAUGGCUCCAUAGCGCCCCCUAAGGUGAAAAUUCACACUAUUGACUGUCACGCCUGUACGCUUUGUCAAAAUGACACAAAAAUUGACACACACAUGUAUCUCAAUAAGAUCUACAAAAAAGUCAGUGCGGGCGUAUCUGUCAAAUGUACGGUUAAAGGGUUAUUUCGCAUUUUUUGCCGAUCCGCACACAUUGGAAUUUCGCUAACUCCUCAGAAGGCUUUCGUUCCACCGGCACCACAUUUGCUCAGGCCAAUCUACACCCCAUGGCCAUUAAAAGUUAUUCAAAUCAUGACGAUGCACCCCACGGUUUAGGUUCUAGGGGGCGCCAAAGAUAACCCUAAAAUCCACAUUUUUAAAAGUCUUAUAACUUUUUAUUUUUGCCCUCACUGGCCUCCAAGUUUUCUAGGAUGAUGCAAUGUCCAGCCAUCAACACAUUUGUGAAUGAAUUUUUACUCCCCAAAAGAGCGCCCCCCCAUGGCAGGAGAAAAAAGUCCAUUUUUUCUUGUCCCCUAAGGUGAAAAUACACAUUGUUGAGUGUUACGCCUGUACGCUUUGGCAAAAUGACACAAAAAUUGACACACACAUGUAUCUCAAGAAGAUCUACAAAAAAGUCCAUGCGCACGUAUCUGUCUAAUGUACGGUUAAAGGGUUAUUCCGCAUUUUUUGCCGAUUCCCACACAUUGGAAUUUCGCUAACUCCUCCGAAGGCUUUCGUUCCACCGGCACCACAUUUGCUCAGGCCAAAUUACACCCCAUGGCCAUUAAAAGUUAUUCAAAUCAUGACGCUGCACCCCACGGUUUACGUUCUAGGGGGCGCCAAAGAUAACCCAAAAAUCCACAUUUUUAAAAGUCUUUUAACUUUUUAUUUUUGUCCUCACUGGCCUCCAAGUUUUCUAGGAUGAUGCAAUGUCCAGCCAUCAACACAUUUGUGAAGGAAUUUUUACUCCCUAAAAGAGCGCCCCCCCAUGGCAGGAGAAAAAAGUCCAUUUUUUCUUGUCCCCUAAGGUGAAAAUACACAUUGUUGACUGUCACGCCUGUACGCUUUGGCAAAAUGACACAAAAAUUGACAAUCAUGUGUAUCUCAAUUAGAUCUACGAAAAAGUCAAAAAGCGCGUAUCUGUAUAAUGUAUGGUAAAAGGGCUAUUUUGCAUUUUUUGCCAAUUCGCACACAUUGGAAUUUCGCUAACUCCUCCUAAGGCCUUUGUCCCACUGACACCAAAUUUGCUCAGGCCAAUCUACACUCCAUGGCCAUUCAAAGUUGUAAAAAUCAUGACGCUGCACCCCACGGUUUACGUUUUAGGGGGCGCCAAAGAUGACCCAAAUAUACAUUACAGUAGACAAAGUAGUUUUGCCCACUGAGUGGCGCCAAAGGGACUUGUCUGUGGAGUCUGUGAGUCACUAUUGGCCGUUUUUGACUACUUUAGAUUUUACCUUUAUAUUUCCUCUUACAAAAUUUUUACCUUGCCUUGCCUGGUAUCAUUUUUUUCAGCACAACCUCACCUGUGUCAAUUUACAGUUAUUUUAUCAUUUUGACAUACUAUAUUUACACAUUGGACCCAAAUUCACACACAAAACAUAAAAUCCGAGUGGAAAAAAGUAACGUUUUUACUGUGAAAACCACAAAUAUGUGUGAUGAACUGUUUUUAAAACUUAAACUUCAAAUAAAAAUUGUAAACUUCAAAACAUAUGCAAAUUUUUAACAAAGAACAUAGAAAUUUACCUCUAUUGACAUCAAAAUGCAGGCAAUGGCCCAGGUGUUCUUUGUAAAAUUAUUUACAAAACACUGUAUAGUCUCACAAAUGUCACUUUUUAUUUAUGCCACUACAAAAAAACAUGAUGUAAAUGAUGCAUGAUGUAAAACAUGAUGUAAAAAACUUGUGUAGAUCCUCCUCUAUGUUAGUCCAUGUGUAAUUUUUCCAUAAUUCUUUGUUUUUUGCAGCAUUUUUGUUAGUGUAACUGCAGAUUGUGCUGACAGUGUCUAUGGCAAAAAAAAAAAAAAAAAAAACUGAAAAUGCCUCAACAUGAACCCCUGGUGGUCUCUGAGGGUGAAACCUGCUAACUGCUGCAGCUCUGUCAGCUUCAGUCUCCCAUGCAGAGCUCGGAGCGCAUGUGUGGCUCUGCACCCUUAGCAGUGUUGCUAACUCCUCAGUAAGGAAAGCCUGCUUCAUGUCAGAGUCUCUAAACUCCAGAAGAAGUCGAUAAAAGUCACUUUCUUUCUAAAAAAAAGUCGUUAGGGGGUCUGAAAAGUCAUUGAAUCUAACAACAAAGUCGCUAGGUUUGCAACUACGUGUCCCAGACUGCAUCCCUGCUGAGAGUCCCUCCCUCCCUUCUCAUAUUGCAGGAAGAACGUAAGUUCCCGCCCCUUGUCAAUCAGUCACCAUAUAAUUUUGGAUUGGUUGUUGUGGUGAAGUUUUCCACCAAUAGGAGAGAUGUUGUGGUGUGUUUUUUUUUUCCUUUGGCAAGCCUUUUCCGCCUGUAAGACCUGUCGCUAAUGUCUGCAUGCUAUGUUUUCCUGUCUCAUACAGCGCGAUCGAGCGCCGAACGUGAUCAAAAUAAGCAGAAAACAAGUAUCGCGGACAUAAUUUAUCAUAACUCUGGUUUUAUUUGGCCUAUCAACACAAUUUAAAAACUGGUAUAUAGGUUGAGGUCCUCACUUUUGAGAUAAAUUGAAACGGAGAGUCAACGAGGCUCCGUCUUGCAGCUACAUCCAGUUAAAUAUGUCAUGUGACUUGAACGCACACACACACACACACACACACACACACACACACAACACACACACACACACACGCACACACACACACUCAGAGUCUGGUUUUUAGCACCUGCAAAAACAUGCUAUUUACAUAUUUGACAAGAAUGCAGAGGCUCCUUUUGCCCCUGAAAAAAAUCAAAUUUCAAACACAACUUGACUGGUCAUUUCUCCAAAAGACAACCAUGAAGCUCCAUCCAAACCUGAAGCAGGCAGUUGGUGCAUGUGUACAGUAACCUGAGGGGAGUGAGGUGACUGCUUCUGAGGAGAACAUGAGCAGUGAAGAUUCACCUUAGAGCUAGAACAGAGACGUGCACAUGAUUAUACAGGGGCAGGGGCUCAAGUUUUUUCCAGUUGUUUAUACAAUAUGGAAAUUAAUGUGAAAUUAAAAAACAAAGUAUUAAUAGAAAGGUAAUGACUGUCCUGUGUAGGUGACAGUGAUAUCCAAUAGGCUAGGCACUCACGAGGCUGGCUGUGGCAAGUGUAAGUGAAAGCAACACGCACUGGCAGGAAGAGCAGCAAACGCCGAUGAAGGAAAAGGGUCUUUGCAGUGAUGGGCGUUACCAGAGAGGGCGACGGCCAGAGGACGCGAAUGGGAUGGGGAGGCAGCGCGUUGGGGGGGGGGACGCGACACAGCUCGGGCCCGCCAGUGCCCCAACGGGGUCCUAGUUAUUAUUUUUCCUCCCCUUUGAACUGGAAAAUGGCCCACUUCCCACUGGCGAAAACUCAUGAAAUUUGGCAGGACGACCGGGCCUGGUGAAAAAUUUGAUAUUCCGAAGUCGGCCAAACAAUAAAAUGCAAAAUGGCUCCAUAGCGCCCCCUAAGGUGAAAAAUUCACCUGACGCCUGUACGCUUUGUCAAAAUGACACAAAAAUUGACACACACAUGUAUCUCAAUAAGAUCUACAAAAAAGUCAGUGCGGGCGUAUCUGUCAAAUGUACGGUUAAAGGGUUAUUGCGCAUUUUUUGCCGAUCCGCACACAUUGGAAUUUCGCUAACUCCUCCGAAGGCUUUCGUUCCACCGGCACCACAUUUGCUCAGGCCAAUCUACACCCCAUGGCCAUUAAAAGUUAUUCAAAUCAUGACGCUGCACCCCACGGUUUAGGUUCUAGGGGGCGCCAAAGAUAACACUAAAAUCCACAUAUUUCAAAAGUCUUAUAACUUUUUAUUUUUGUCCUCACUGGCCUCCAAGUUUUCUAGGAUGAUGCAAUGUCCAGCCAUCAACACAUUUGUGAAGGAAUUUUUACUCCCAAAAGAGCGCCCCCCCAUGGCAGGAGAAAAAAGUCCAUUUUUUCUUGUCCCCUAAGGUGAAAAUACACAUUGUUGAGUGUCACGCCUGUACGCUUUGUCAAAAUGACACAAAAAUUGACACACACAUGUAUCUCAAUAAGAUCUACAAAAAAGUCAAUGGGCGCGUAUCUGUCAAAUGUACGGUUAAAGGGUUAUUCCGCAUUUUUUGCCGAUCCGCACACAUUGGAAUUUCGCUAACUCCUCCGAAGGCUUUCGUUCCACCGGCACCACAUUUGCUCAGGCCAAUCUACACCCCAUGGCCAUUAAAAGUUAUUCAAAUCAUGACGCUGCACCCCACGGUUUACGUUCUAGGGGGCGCCAAAGAUAACCCAAAAAUCCAAAUUUUUAAAAGUCUUAUAACUUUUUAUUUUUGUCCUCACUGGCCUCCAAGUUUUCUAGGAUGAUGCAAUGUCCAGCCAUCAACACAUUUGUGAAGGAAUUUUUACUCCCCAAAAGAGCGCCCCCCCAUGGCAGGAGAAAAAAGUCAAUUUUUUCUUGUCCCCUAAGGUGGAAAUUCACACUAUUGACUGUCACGCCUGUACGCUUUAUCAUAUUGACACAAAAAUUGACACACAUAUGUAUCUCAAUAAGAUCUACAAAAAAGUCAAUGCGCGCGUAUCUGUCAAAUGUACGGUUAAAGGGCUAUUUUGCAUUUUUUGCCGAUUCGCACACAUUGGAAUGUGGCUAACUCCUCCUAAGGCUUUCGUCCCACUGACACCAAAUUUGCUCAGGCCAAUCUACACCCCAUGGCCAUUCAAAGUUGUAAAAAUCAUGACGCUGCACCCCACGGUUUACGUUCUAGGGGGCGCCAAAGAUGACCCAAAAUCCACAUUCUUAAACUUUUAUUUUGUCCCACUGGCCUCCAAGUUUUCUAGAUAUGCAUGUCAGCCAUCAACACAUUUGUGAAGGAAUUUUUCUCCCAGCCCCCCCCAAGGCAGGAGAAAAAGUCAAGUUAACCCUGCCCAUCGCUCAAUGGCUCAAUCGCAUCGCUCUCCAGGCAACACCGUAAGGAGGAGCAACCUGCCAUUUCGAUAUAUCAUAGCUGUGUUUGUGCCCUCACUCAUGGUCCAGACUUUUUUCAAAUAGGACAUGAAGUUUGUCUGCAGCGAGUGUUUUGGUAGAAACUGCGCCUCCCAUUCAUUAUAAUGGGAAAUGACCACAGACAAGUGCGCACACCAUCUUUGGACCUUGAGUGUGACGCGAUCGGGAGGGGGAGGCGGUCGCGCUAGGGGCGGCGCGACGCGGCUCGGGCCCGACAGUGCCCCACCGGGGCCCUAGUUAUUAUUUUAUUAUUAUUUUCCUCCCCUUUGAACUGGAAAAUGGCCCACUUCCCACUGGCGAAAACUCAUGAAAUUUGGCAGGACGACCGGGCCUGGUGAAAAAUUUGAUAUUCCGAAGUCGCCCAAACAAGAAAAUGCAAAAUGGCUCCAUAGCGCCCCCUAAGGUGAAAAUUCACACUAUUGACUGUCACGCCUGUACGCUUUGUCAAAAUGACACAAAAAUUGACACACACAUGUAUCUCAAUAAGAUCUACAAAAAAGUCAGUGCGGGCGUAUCUGUCAAAUGUACGGUUAAAGGGUUAUUUCGCAUUUUUUGCCGAUCCGCACACAUUGGAAUUUCGCUAACUCCUCCGAAGGCUUUUGUUCCACCGGCACCACAUUUGCUCAGGCCAAUCUACACCCCAUGGCCAUUAAAAGUUAUUCAAAUCAUGACGCUGCACCCCACGGUUUAGGUUCUAGGGGGCGCCAAAGAUAACCCUAAGAUCCACAUAUUUAAAAGUCUAAUAACUUUUUAUUUUUGCCGUCACUGGCCUCCAAGUUUUCUAGGAUGAUGCAAUGUCCAGCCAUCAACACAUUUGUGAAGGAAUUUUUACUCCCCAAAAGAGCGCCCCCCCAUGGCAGGAGAAAAAAGUCCAUUUUUUCUUGUCCCCUAAGGUGAAAAUACACAUUGUUGAGUGUAACACCUGUACGCUUUGGCAAAAUGACACAAAAAUUGACACACACAUGUAUCUCAAUAAGAUCUACGAAAAAGUCAAUGCGCGCGUAUCUGUCAAAUGUACGGUUAAAGGGUUAUUCCGCAUUUUUUGCCGAUCCGCACACAUUGGAAUUUCGCUAACUCCUCCGAAGGCUUUCGUUCCACCGGCACCACAUUUGCUCAGGCCAAUCUACACCCCAUGGCCAUUAAAAGUUAUUCAAAUCAUGACGCUGCACCCCACGGUUUAGGUUCUAGGGGGCGCCAAAGAUAACCCUAAAAUCCACAUAUUUAAAAGUCUUAUAACUUUUUAUUUUUGUCCUCUCUGGCCUCCAAGUUUUCUAGGAUGAUGCAAUGUCCAGCCAUCAACACAUUUGUGAAGGAAUUUUUACUCCCCAAAAGAGCCCCCCCCAUGGCAGGAGAAAAAAGUCAAUUUUUUCUUGUCCCAUAAGGUGAAAAUACACAUUGUUGACUGUCACGCCUGUACGCUUUAUCAUAUUGACACAAAAUUUGACAAUCACAUGUAUCUCAAUAAGAUCUACGAAAAAGUCAAUGCGCGCGUAUCUGUCAAAUGUACGGUUAAAGGGCUAUUUUGCAUUUUUUGCCGAUUAGCACACAUUGGAAUGUGGCUAACUCCUCCUAAGUCUUUCGUCCCACUGACACCAAAUUUGCUCAGGCCAAUCUACACCCCAUGGCCAUUCAAAGUUUUAAAAAUCAUGACGCUGCACCCCACGGUUUACGUUCUAGGGGGCGCCAAAGAUGACCCAAAUAUCCACAUUCUUAAAAGAAUCCACCCCCCCCAUCCCCCAUCCCCCAUCCCCCAUCCCCCAUGGCAGGAGAAACAGUCAAGUUUUUCCUGCCCAUCACUCAAUGGCUCAAUCGCAUCGCUCUCCCGGCAACACCGUAACGAGGAGCAACUUGCCGUUUGGAUAUAUCCUAGCUGUGUUUGUGCCCUCACUCAUGGUCCAGACUUUUUUCAAAUAGGACAUGUAGUUUGUCUGCAGCGAGUGUUUUGGUAGAAACUGCGCCUCCCAUUUAUUAUAAUGGGAAAUGACCACAGACAAGUGCGCACACCAUCUUUGGACCUUGAGUGUGACGCGAUCAGGAGGGGGAGGCGGUCGCACUGGGGGCGGCGCAACGCGGCUCGGGCCCGCCAGUGCCCCAACGGGGCCCUAGUUUGUUAUUAUUAUUAUUAUUAUUAUUUUUCCUCCCCUUUGAACUGGAAAAUGGCCCACUUCCCACUGGCAAAAACUCAUGAAAUUUGGCAGGACGACCGGGCCUCGUGAAAAAUUUGAUAUUCCGAAGUCGCCCAAACAAGAAAAUGCAAAAUGGCUCCAUAGCGCCCCCUAAGGUGAAAAUUCACACUAUUCACUGUCACGCCUGUACGCUUUGUCAAAAUGACACAAAAAUUGACACACACAUGUAUCUCAAUAAGAUCUACAAAAAAGUCAGUGCGGGCGUAUCUGUCAAAUGUACGGUUAAAGGGUUAUUUCGCAUUUUUUGCCGAUCCGCACACAUUGGAAUUUCGCUAACUCCUCCGAAGGCUUUCGUUCCACCGGCACCACAUUUGCUCAGGCCAAUCUACACCCCAUGGCCAUUAAAAGUUAUUCAAAUCAUGACGCUGCACCCCACGGUUUAGGUUCUAGGGGGCGCCAAAGAUAACCCUAAGAUCCACAUAUUUAAAAGUCUUAUAACUUUUUAUUUUUGCCCUCACUGGCCUCCAAGUUUUCUAGGAUGAUGCAAUGUCCAGCCAUCAACACAUUUGUGAAGGAAUUUUUACUCCCCAAAAGAGCGCCCCCCCAUGGCAGGAGAAAAAAGUCCAUUUUUUCUUGUCCUCUAAGGUGAAAAUACACAUUGUUGAGUGUAACACCUGUACGCUUUGGCAAAAUGACACAAAAAUUGACACACACAUGUAUCUCAAUAAGAUCUACGAAAAAGUCAAUGCGCGCGUAUCUGUUACAUGUACGGUUAAAGGGUUAUUCCGCAUUUUUUGCCGAUCCGCACACAUUGGAAUUUCGCUAACUCCUCCGAAGGCUUUCGUUCCACCGGCACCACAUUUGCUCAGGCCAAUCUACACCCCAUGGCCAUUAAAAGUUAUUCAAAUCAUGACGCUGCACCCCACGGUUUAGGUUCUAGGGGGCGCCAAAGAUAACCGUAAAAUCCACAUAUUUAAAAGUCUUAUAACUUUUUAUUUUUGUCCCCACUGGCCUCCAAGUUUUCUAGGAUGAUGCAAUGUCCAGCCAUCAACACAUUUGUGAAGGAAUUUUUACUCCCCAAAAGAGCGCCCCCCCAUGGCAGGAGAAAAAAGUCAAUUUUUUCUUGUCCACUAAGGUGAAAAUACACAUUGUUGAGUGCUACGCCUGUAUGUUUUGUCGUAUUGACACAAAAUUUUACAUACACGUGUAUUUUAAUAAGAUCUUCGAAAAAGUCAAUGGCCACGUAUCUGUAAAAUGUACGGUUAAAGGGUUAUUUUGCAUUUUUUGCAGAUUCGCACACAUUGGAAUUUCGCUAACUCCUCCGAAGGCUUUUGUUCCACCGGCACCACAUUUGCUCAGGCCAAUCUACACCCCAUGGCCAUUAAAAGUUAUUCAAAUCAUGACGCUGCACCCCACGGUUUAGGUUCUAGGGGGCGCCAAAGAUAACCCUAAAAUCCACAUAUUUAAAAGUCUUAUAACUUUUUAUUUUUGUCCUCACUGGCCUCCAUGUUUUCUAGGAUGAUGCAAUGUCCAGCCAUCAACACAUUUGUGAAGGAGUUUUUUCUCGUUAAAAGAGCGCCCCCCAUGGCAGGAGAAUAAAGUCAAGUUUUUCCUGUUCAUCAUUCAAUGGCUCAAACGCACUGCUCUCUCGGCAAAAGCGAAAGGAGGAGCAACUUGCCAUUUGGAUAUAUCUUAGCUGUGUUUGUGCCCUCACUCAUGGUCCAGACUUUUUUCAAAUAGGACAUGGAGUUUUUCUGCAGCGAGCGCUUUGGUAGAAACUGCGCCUCCCGUUCAUUAUAAUGGUAAAUGACCACAAACAAGUGCGCACACCAUCUUUGGACCUUGAGUGUGACGCGAUCGGGUGGGGGAGGCGGUCGCGCUGGGGGCGGCGUGACACGGCUCGGGCCCGCCAGUGCCCCAACGGGGCCCUAGUUUUUCUUUUUCCUCCCCUUUGAACUGGAAAAUGGCCCACUUCCCACUGGCGAAAACUCAUGAAAUUUGGCAGGACGACCGGGCCUGGUGAAAAAUUCGAUAUUCUGAAGUCGCCCAAACAAUAAAAUGCAAAAUGGCUCCAUAGCGCCCCCUAAGGUGGAAAUUCACACUAUUGACUGUCACGCCUGUACCCUUUGUCAUAUUGACACAAAAAUUGACACACAUAUGUAUCUCAAUAAGAUCUACAAAAAAGUCAGUGUGGCCGUAUCUGUCAAAAUUACGGUUAAAGGGUUAUUUCGCAUUUUUUGCCGAUCCGCACACAUUGGAAUUUCGCUAACUCCUCUGAAGGCUUUCGUUCCACCGGCACCACAUUUGCUCAGGCCAAUCUACACCCCGUGGCCAUUAAAAGUUAUCAAAAUCAUGACGCUGCACCCCAAGGUUUAGGUUCUAGGGGGCGCCAAAGAUAACACUAAAAUUCACAUAUUUAAAAGUCUUAUAACUUCUUAUUUUUGUCCUCACUGGCCUCCAAGUUUUCUAGGAUGAUGCAAUGUCCAGCCAUCAACACAUUUGUGAAGGAAUUUUUACUCCCCAAAAGAGCGCCCCCCCAUGGCAGGAGAAAAAAGUCCAUUUUUUCUUGUCCCCUAAGGUGAAAAUACACAUUGUUGAGUGUCACGCCUAUACGCUUUGUCAAAAUGACACAAAAAUUGACACACACAUGUAACUCAAUAAGAUCUACGAAAAAGUCAAUGCGCGCGUAUCUGUCAAAUGUACGGUUAAAGGGUUAUUCCGCAUUUUUUGCCGAUCCGCACACAUUGGAAUUUCGCUAACUCCUCCUAAGGCUUUCGUUCCACCGGCACCACAUUUGCUCAGGCCAAUCUACACCCCAUGGCCAUUAAAAGUUAUUCAAAUCAUGACGCUGCACCCCACGGUUUAGGUUCUAGGGGGCGCCAAAGAUAACCCUAAAAUCCACAUAUUUAAAAGUCUUAUAACUUUUUAUUUUUGUCCUCACUGGCCUCCAAGUUUUCUAGGAUGAUGCAAUGUCCAGCCAUCAACACAUUUGUGAAGGAAUUUUUACUCCCCAAAAGAGCGCCCCCCCAUGGCAGGAGAAAAAAGUCCAUUUUUUCUUGUCCCCUAAGGUGAAAAUACACAUUGUUGAGUGUCACGCCUAUACGCUUUGUCAAAAUGACACAAAAAUUGACACACACAUGUAACUCAAUAAGAUCUACGAAAAAGUCAAUGCGCGCGUAUCUGUCAAAUGUACGGUUAAAGGGUUAUUCCGCAUUUUUUGCCGAUCCGCACACAUUUGAAUGUGGCUAACUCCUCCUAAGGCUUUCGUUCCACCGGCACCACAUUUGCUCAGGCCAAUCUACACCCCGUGGCCAUUAAAAGUUAUUCAAAUCAUGACGCUGCACCCCACGGUUUAGGUUCUAGGGGGCGCCAAAGAUAACCCUAAAAUCCACAUAUUUAAAAGUCUUAUAACUUUUUAUUUUUGUCCUCACUGGCCUCCAAGUUUUCUAGGAUGAUGCAAUGUCCAGCCAUCAACACAUUUGUGAAGGAAUUUUUACUCCCCAAAAGAGCGCCCCCCCAUGGCAGGAGAAAAAAGUCAAUUUUUUCUUGUCCCCUAAGGUGAAAAUACAUAUUGUUGAGAUUCACGCCUAUACGCUUUGUCAUAUUGACACAAAAUUUGACAAUCACGUGCCUUGCCUGGUAUCAUUUUUUUCAGCACAACCUCACCUGUGCGAAUUUACAGUUAUUUUAUCAUGUUGACAUACUGAAUUUACACAAUGGACCCAAAUUCACACACAAAACAUAAAAUCCGAGUGGAAAAAAGUAACAUUUUUACUGUGAAAACCACAAAUAUGUGUGAACUGUUUUUAAAACUUAAACUUCAAAUAAAAAUUGUUAACUUCAAAACAUAUGCAAAUUUUUAACAAAGAACAUAGUGAUUUACCUCUAUUUUCAUCAAAAUGCAGGCAAUGGCCCAGGCGUUCUUUGUAAAAUUAUUUACAAAACACUGUAUAGUCUCACAAAUGUCACUUUUUAUUUAUGCCACUACAAAAAAACAUGAUGUAAAUGAUGCAUGAUGUAAAACAUGAUGUAAAAAACUUGUGUAGAUCCUCCUCUAUGUCAGUCCAUGUGUAAUUUUUCCAUAAUUCUUUGUUUUUUGCAGCAUUUUUGUUAGUGUAACUGCAGAUUGUGCUGACAGUGUCUAUGGCACAAAAAAAAAAAAAAAUUUAAAAUGCCUCAACAUGAACCCCUGGUGGUCUCUGAGGGUGAAACCUGCUAACUGCUGCAGCACUGUCAGCUUCAGUCUCCCAUGCAGAGCUCUGAGCGCAUGUGUGGCUCUGCACCCUUAGCAGCGUUGCUAACUCCUCAGUAAGGAAAGCCUGCUUCAUGUCAGAGUCUCUAAACUCCAGAAGAAGUCGAUAAAAGUCCCUUUCUUCCUAAAAAAAAGUCGUUAGGGGGUCUGAAAAGUCAUUGAAUCUAACAACAAAGUCGCUAGGUUUGCAACUACGUGUCCCAGACUGCAUCCCUGCUGAGAGUCCCUCCCUCCCUUCUCAUGUUGCAGGAAGAACGUAAGCGCCCGCCCCUUGUCAAUCAGUCACCAUAUAAUUUUGGAUUGGUUGUUGUGGUGAAGUUUUCCACCAAUAGGAGAGAUGUUGUGGUGUGUUUUUUUUUUCUUUUGGCAAGCCUUUUCCGCCUGUAAGACCUGUCGCUAAUGUCUGCAUGCUAUGUUUUCCUGUCUCAUACAGCGCGAUCGAGCGCCGAACGUGAUCAAAAUAAGCAGAAAAAAAGUAUCGCGGACAUAAUUUAUCAUAACUCUGGUUUUAUUUGGCCUAUCAACACAAUUUAAAAACUGGUAUAUAGGUUGAGGUCCUCACUUUUGAGAUAAGUUGAAACGGAGAGUCAACGAGGCUCCGUCUUGCAGCUACAUCCGGUUAAAUAUGUCAUGUGACUUGAACGCACACACAGACACACACACACGCACACACACACACACACACACACACUCAGAGUCUGGUUUUUAGCACCUGCAAAAACAUGCUAUUUACAUAUUUGACAAGAAUGCAGAGGCUCCUUUUGCCCCUGAAAAAAAUCAAAUUUCAAACACAACUUGACUGGUCAUUUCUCCAAAAGACAACCAUGAAGCUCCAUCCAAACCUGAAGCAGGCAGUUGGUGCAUGUGUACAGUAACCUGAGGGGAGUGAGGUGAGUGCUUCUGAGGAGAACAUGAGCAGUGAAGAUUCACCUUGGAGCUAGAACAGAGACAUGCACAUGAUUAUACAGGGGCAGGGGCUCAAGUUUUUUCCAGUCGUUUAUACAAUAUGGAAAUUAAUGUGAAAUUAAAACACAAAGUAUUAAUAGAAAGGUAAUGACUGUCCUGUGUAGGUGACAGUGAUAUCCAAUAGGCUAGGCACUCACGAAGCUGGCUGUGGCAAGUGUAAGUGAAAGCAACACGCACUGGCAGGAAGAACAGCAAACGCCGAUGAAGGAAAAGGGUCUUUGCAGUGAUGGGCGUUACCAGAGAGGGCGAUGGCCAGAGGACACAAAUGGG